UGCGCAGGCGGUUGUGCAAGACAGAUGUGAAAUCCCCGGGCUUAACCUGGGAAUUGCAUUUGUGACUGCACGGCUAGAGUGUAUCAGAGGGGGGUAGAAUUCCACGUGUAGCAGUGAAAUGCGUAGAGAUGUGGAGGAAUACCGAUGGCGAAGGCAGCCCCCUGGGAUAACACUGACGCUCAUGCACGAAAGCGUGGGGAGCAAACA
rnacentral:rRNA from 1 species